CAAGUCCCUUUAACAUUGACAGCAAAUGUUUUGUUUUGGAAGUUAAAUUAAUACUGGCUAAAUUUGCAGGUGUGUUAUUGUUUUAAAUUGAGAUGGUGAACAGAUACUUCAUGAAUUAUAUGAAUCACCAGGGAAAGGACCCAACUACUUGCACAGAUGCAUCCUGGCGGGUGAAAGAAGGGAUGAUCACUUUGGCAACAGAUUGUUCAACUGCUUAAAUGUUGAUGUGGACUCAGUCAAAGAAUUUGCUGUAACUGUGUAUGUCUCUUCACUAUGUGGACAUAAAGUGCUACAGCUGGUUGGAGAUUAAGAUCAC